GGCUCAUUCCUGACACUCAGUUGCUUAGAGCUUGGUGCUUAGAGCUUGAUAACGCCAAGGUUGCAGGUUCAAUCCCCGUAUGGGACA